GUAGGGAAUCUUGCGCAAUGGGCGAAAGCCUGACGCAGCCAUGCCGCGUGAAUGAUGAAGGUCUUAGGAUUGUAAAAUUCUUUCACCGGGGACGAUAAUGACGGUACCCGGAGAAGAAGCCCCGGCUAACUUCGUGCCAGCAGCCGCGGUAAUACGAAGGGGGCUAGCGUUGCUCGGAAUUACUGGGCGUAAAGGGCGCGUAGGCGGACAGCUUAGUCAGAGGUGAAAGCCCAGGGCUCAACCUUGGAAUUGCCUUUGAUACUGGCUGUCUUGAGUUUGGGAGAGGUGAGUGGAACUCCGAGUGUAGAGGUGAAAUUCGUAGAUAUUCGGAAGAACACCAGUGGCGAAGGCGACUCACUGGCCCAAUACUGACGCUGAGGCGCGAAAGCGUGGGGAGCAAACAGGAUUAGAAACCCUAGUAGUCC
rnacentral:rRNA from 1 species